rnacentral:rRNA from 1 species
CUACGACGGGUACGGGUUGUGAGAGCAAGAGCCCGGAGAUGGAUUCUGAGACACGAAUCCAGGCCCUACGGGGUGCAGCAGGCGCGAAAACUUUACAAUGCCGGCAACGGCGAUAAGGGGACCUCGAGUGCCAGGUUACAAAUCUGGCUGUCGUGAUGCCUAAAAAGCAUUGCAUAGCAAGGGCCGGGCAAGACCGGUGCCAGCCGCCGCGGUAACACCGGCGGCUCGAGUGGUAACCGUUAUUAUUGGGUCUAAAGGGUCUGUAGCCGGCCGGAUAAGUCUCUUGAGAAAUCUGGCAGCUUAACUGUCAGGCUUUCAGGAGAUACUGUCUGGCUCGAGGCCGGGAGAGGUGAGAGGUACUUCAGGGGUAGGGGUGAAAUCUUGUAAUCCUUGAAGGACCACCAGUGGCGAAGGCGUCUCACCAGAACGGACCUGACGGCAAGGGACGAAAGCUAGGGGCACGAACCGGAUUAGAUACCCGGGUAGUCCUAGCCGUAAACGAUACUCGCUAGGUGUCGGCCACGGUGCGACCGUUGUCGGUGCCGUAGGGAAGCCGUGAAGCGAGC